UACAGCGAAACUGCGAAUGGCUCAUAAAAUCAGUUAUCGUUUAUUUGAUAGUACCUUACUACAUGGAUAACCGUGGUAAUUCUAGAGCUAAUACAUGCUAAAAAUCCCGACUUCGGAAGGGAUGUAUUUAUUAGAUUAAAAACCAAUGCCCUUCGGGCUCUCUGGUGAUUCAUAAUAACUUCUCGAAUCGCACGGCCUUGCGCCGGCGAUGGUUCAUUCAAAUUUCUGCCCUAUCAACUUUCGACGGCUGGGUCUUGGCCAGCCGUGGUGACAACGGGUAACGGAGGGUUAGGGCUCGACCCCGGAGAAGGAGCCUGAGAAACGGCUACUACAUCCAAGGAAGGCAGCAGGCGCGCAAAUUACCCAAUCCCGACACGGGGAGGUAGUGACAAUAAAUACUGAUACAGGGCUCUUUCGGGUCUUGUAAUUGGAAUGAGUACAAUUUAAAUCCCUUAACGAGGAACAAUUGGAGGGCAGGUCUGGUGCCAGCAGCCGCGGUAAUUCCAGCUCCAAUAGCGUAUAUUAAAGUUGUUGAGGUUAAAAAGCUCGUAGUUGAACCUUGGCCUAGCGGCCGGUCCGCCUCACCGCGUGCACUGGCUCGGCUGGGUCUUUCCUUCUGGAGAACCGCAUGCC
rnacentral:rRNA from 1 species